UUGAACAAAAAUGAAAAUAUUAUACAUAAUGUCCAAGAAACAUACACAAUGCAAUAAUACUUGAAUGAAAAUGAAAAUAUUUUAUUGAGUAAUCAAGAUAUAAGUCAAAGGACUCUACAGUUGAUUGGACACAAUGUUUGUAGUAGUGUACUAAACGGUCAAGUUAUUUCAGAUACAAGAUGUGGCCAAAAACCUAGAUGAUUUUUAAAUACUGAUCUUGAACAUCAAAUUUCAAUUGAACAAGUAAAUUUUCAACUACAUUUUCCGUCUGAGUUCAGUAGAUUACCCAGAUCAUUAGAUGAACUACAAUAUUGGAAGGCGACUGAAUAUCGUAAUUUUUUAUUAUAUACUAGUUCCAUUUUAUUAAAAGUUAGGAUAAAAUCAUCCCUGUAUAACCAUUUCUUACUUUUACAUUGUGCUAUUAAAAUACUAAUAUCUAUUGAAACUUGUUUAAUCUAUAAUGACUUGGUGAAUAAUUUACUAAGAAAAUUUGUCACUGAGUAUCCUGAACAUUAUGGAAAUGAAUAUGUAUCAUAUAAUGUUCAUAGUCUUGUACACAUAGCUAAUUUCGUUAUGAUUCAUGGUCCGGUCCACUAGACAAUUUUAGUGCAUUUAAAUUUGAAAACUUUUUACAAAUUAUAAAAAAAACUGUUCACAGUUCUAAAUAUCCUCUUUAAGACGUAUACAACCGAAUUCUCGAACAAAAUAUGUAUUUAGACAAUAACAUUAAAUACCCUAUAGUUAAAAAGAAAAUGAUUUCAACUAUACAACUCACCAAGAUAUAACCACUACAUUAUAUGAACAAGUUUUACUAACAAAUUCAAAGUUAGUUGUUCUAAAAAACGUGAUAAAUAUUUUUUUUUUUAUUUGAUUAUUGUGCUAUUGUUUCUAUUGAUAAAAUAAUUAAAGACUCAUCUGGUCAUAUAAUGCUUGAGGCUACUAAAUAUGAAAAUUUAUCUUCUAUGUUUAGUAGCCCAAUCUCAUCACAUUUAAUUGGACACUUUCUGGUAAAUACGGAAAUUAAAAUUCCAAAAUGUUUAAUUGAACUAUCAAAUUUAAAAUAUAAGUGUUUGUUUUUCCAUACAUCAGAAAAUCAAGCUGUAGCUUUAAUCUUACUUCAUACAGAAUAAAACAUAUUAA